AUUUUUUUAUUUUUCAAAAUUUUAAAUCUUAUCCCCAAAACUCUAAACCCUAAACCCUAAACUCUAAACCCUAAAUCCUAAACCCUAAAUCCUAAAUCCUAAACCCUAAACCCUAAACCUUAAACCCUAAACUCUAAACCCUAAACCCUAAACUCUAAACCCUAAACCCUAAAUCCUAAACCCCACCCUUUAACUCUAAACCCUAAGUUUGUGACUUUUGAUAAAACAUUAAGUGCUAUUUUUGUGACUUUUGACCUUGAGUGCUAGUUUGGGAACAAAAACUUAAUUUAGUGCUAUUUUUGUAUUUUUCUCUUAAAAAUAUCCUAAAGAUAAGUUCUUGGGCAAAUCUCCAAAAUAGCAUAUUUCUAAGUUUAUAUCACAAAAAUAGCACUCAAAAACUAAAAUGACCAAAAUAGCAUUUUACCUUUUGAAAAUUUUAAUUUUUUAAUUUUUCAAAAUUUGAAAUCUUAUCCCCAAAACCUCAUUUCUCAACUCUAAACCCUAAACCCUAAACUCUAAACCCUAAACCCUAAACACUAAACCCUAAACUCUAAACCCUAAACCCUAAACUCUAAACCCUAAACCCUAAAUCCUAAAUUCCACCC
rnacentral:lncRNA from 1 species